rnacentral:misc_RNA from 1 species
UACGGAGGGUGCAAGCGUUGUCCGGAUUUAUUGGGUUUAAAGGGUGCGUAGGCGGGCUAAUAAGUCAGAGGUGAAAGCCCACGGCUCAACCGUGGAACUGCCUUUGAUACUGUUAGUCUUGAGUGUCGUUGAGGUAAGCGGAAUUUAUGGUGUAGCGGUGAAAUGCAUAGAUACCAUAAAGAACACCGAUAGCGUAGGCAGCUUACUGGGCGAUAACUGACGCUGAGGCACGAAAGCGUGGGGAGCAAACAGG